CUACUUAAGUAUGAUCUCCAAUUAGAGACAACGAGGACCAGCUGCCUCUAAUUGGAGAUCAUCCCAAACAAACCCCAACAUAGAAAUACAAAACUAGAACCUAAACAUAGAAAUAGAAAACAUAGGGGGAAAAAAACCCUGUCACACCCUGACCUACUCUACCAUAGAAAAUAACAUCUUUCUAUGGUCAGGACGUGACAGUACCCCCCAAUAGGUGCGGACUCCGACCGCUCCUAGACAAAACAACAAAUAUCCCCCCCCCCACAAAAAAAGGGGAAAAAAAGGGAGGGCAGGGUGGGUAACUAUUGUCUAUGGCGGUUCUGGUGCAGUACCCAGAACCCUAUCAUCCAGCGGAUGGCUCUGGUUCGGGGCGUAACCCCCGCUCCGCCCGCUGAUCGCUCUGCUUCUGUACCACCGGACCAUGGAUCGUCAUCGGAGGAACCGGACUGUAGAUCGUCGCCGGAGGCUCUGUACUGCAGACCGCCGCUGGAGGUUCCGGGCUGCAGGCCACCGCUGGAGGUUCCGGGCUGCAGGCCGCCGCUGGAGGUUCUGGACUGGGAACUGUCGCCGGAAGCUCAACUGGGAACUGUCGCCGGAAGCUCUGGACUGGGAACUGUCGCCGGAAGCUCUGGACUGGGAACUGUCGCCGGAAGCUCUGGACUGGGAACUGUCGCCGGAAGCUCUGGACUAGGAAUGCGCACUAGAGUCCUAAUGCGUGGGACUGGCACAGGUGACGCCAGACUAGUAACAAGCAUCUCAGGGCGAGUGCGAGGAGCAGGCACAGGACGUACCAGGUUGGAUAGACUCACCGGAGGCCGGGUAAGUGGGGCAGGCACAGGAUAUACUGGGCCAUGGAGGCGCACCGGAGGUCUCGAGCAUAUAGCUGGCACAACCCGUCCUGGCUGGAUGCUUACUUUCUCCCGGGCAAACGCGUGGAGCUGGCACAGGACGAACUGGGCUCUGAACACGUACUGGCGACACAGUGCGCAGCGCCGGCGCAGGAUAUCCUGGACCGAGAAGACGAACUGGAGACCAGGAGCUGAGCUGGAACCACCCUUCCUGGCUGAAUGCUCAACCUAGCACGGCAAAUGCGGGGCGCGGGCACAGAUCAGACCGGGCUGUGAAUGCGCACUGGCGACACAGUGCGCAUCACCGCAUAACACGGCGGCGAAUCGCAUCUCUGCAUGUCUGUCAGACAUAUCAGUGUGGAUGACGGAUCACCAGCUCAAGCUGAACCUUGGCAAGACGGAGCUGCUCUUCCUCCCGGGGAAGGACUGCCCGUUCCAUGAUCUCGCCAUCACGGUUGACAACUCCCUUGUGUCCUCCUCCCAGUGUGCUAAGAACCUUGGCGUGAUCCUGGACAACACCCUGUCGUUCUCCACUAACAUCAAGGCGGUGACCCGAUCCUGUAGGUUCAUGCUCUACAACAUUCGCAGAGUACGACCCUGCCUCACACAGGAAGCGGCGCAGGUCCUAAUCCAGGCACUUGUCAUCUCCCGUCUGGAUUACUGCAACUCGCUGUUGGCUGGGCUCCCUGCCUGUGCCAUUAAAC
rnacentral:lncRNA from 1 species